rnacentral:rRNA from 1 species
GACGAACGCUGGCGGCGUGCUUAACACAUGCAAGUCGAACGGAAAGGCCCUGCUUUUGUGGGGUGCUCGAGUGGCGAACGGGUGAGUAACACGUGAGUAACCUGCCCUUGACUUUGGGAUAACUUCAGGAAACUGGGGCUAAUACCGGAUAGGAGCUCCUGCUGCAUGGUGGGGGUUGGAAAGUUUCGGCGGUUGGGGAUGGACUCGCGGCUUAUCAGCUUGUUGGUGGGGUAGUGGCUUACCAAGGCUUUGACGGGUAGCCGGCCUGAGAGGGUGACCGGCCACAUUGGGACUGGGAUACGGCCCAGACUCCUACGGGAGGCAGCAGUGGGGAAUAUUGCACAAUGGGCGGAAGCCUGAUGCAGCAACGCCGCGUGCGGGAUGACGGCCUUCGGGUUGUAAACCGCUUUCGCAUGUGACGAAGCGUGAGUGACGGUAAUGGGUAAAGAAGCACCGGCUAACUACGUG